rnacentral:rRNA from 1 species
GAACGCUGGCGGCAUGCUUUACACAUGCAAGUCGAACGGCAGCGGGGUAGUGCUUGCACUACUGCCGGCGAGUGGCGAACGGGUGAGUAAUAUAUCGGAACGUACCGAGUAAUGGGGGAUAACCAAUCGAAAGAUUGGCUAAUACCGCAUACGUCCUGAGGGAGAAAGCGGGGGAUCGCAAGACCUCGCGUUAUUCGAGCGGCCGAUAACUGAUUAGCUAGUUGGUGGGGUAAAGGCCUACCAAGGCGACGAUCAGUAGCGGGUCUGAGAGGACGAUCCGCCACACUGGGACUGAGACACGGCCCAGACUCCUACGGGAGGCAGCAGUGGGGAAUUUUGGACAAUAGGGGCAACCCUGAUCCAGCCAUGCCGCGUGUAUGAAGAAGGCCUUCGGGUUGUAAAGUACUUUUGUUAGGGAAGAAAAGGGAAGUGCUAAUACCACUUUUUGCUGACGGUACCUAAAGAAUAAGCACCGGCUAACUACGUG